CGUAAAUGCGUCGAUGACGGUCCUCCUUCCGUAACGGAGGAGGCUAAGAGGGAAUGCGGUGCGGGUGCCUGACCCAAGACCGCAGCUGUCCCCGCAACUGUAGGCGGAGAGCUUUUUCCGACGACGCCACUGGAGCUUCCGCUCUGGGAAGGCAGGGAAAAGCGUCGAUCCGUGAGCCAGGAAACCUGCCGUCGACAACAGAAAUCC
rnacentral:ncRNA from 2 species